rnacentral:rRNA from 1 species
CGUCUACUCUUGGACAGCCUUCUGAAAGGAAGAUUAAUACAAGAUGGCAUCAUGAGUCCGCAUGUUCACAUGAUUAAAGGUAUUCCGGUAGACGAUGGGGAUGCGUUCCAUUAGAUAGUAGGCGGGGUAACGGCCCACCUAGUCUUCGAUGGAUAGGGGUUCUGAGAGGAAGGUCCCCCACAUUGGAACUGAGACACGGUCCAAACUCCUACGGGAGGCAGCAUG